GUGGGAUGAGACAUGAAAGCCCUGUGAACAUCCUGUUCCCUGACAACCCUUCAGAGCUGGUUUCAGUGCCACUGCUGAAGCCUCUGGGAAACGUUGAUUACACUCACGGUGACGGUGGCAAUUUCUUGAAUUCCUUCUACAUUGACUGCCUGCGUUAUUCAGUGAAGCAGACAUGGCCUAUUCCCUACAUUUGCCCCUUGAAAAUGUUCAAUUUUAAUUUAAAAGAUUAAUACAGCCAGGAUAUUCUUUCAACAGGCAAAUAAAAACCGCAGUUUAAACUCUAAGUUUCAAUCAGAAACUAACAGCUCUUGGAUUUCCCAGGGCUCACACUCCUCUGAAACAACUCACGAAGAGCCUGAGGAAGCAGUUCUCACUGGAAAAUGCAAGAAAGUAUGUUCCGGUGAAGACCCUCAGCUCUGUUCAUUUUCAUGAUGCAAAUGCCCACAAAGGUGGUUUUGACCUGACUGACCCUGUGCAAGGAGGCACAGUCUCCUCACCAGCAUAAGCACGUGGCAUCAGAUGCGGAGACAGUUUUGGACGUGGAUGGAUGUUUACACACUGAGACUCCUUCAGUGUCCCUUCAAGAAAAUGUGGACACAAUGUCUCUGAAGCCUGUUAGUGACCAUAGAAUUAAUUUCACUAAUACCUUUCGGUCACCGACUCCUGAAAAGAGAACACGUGAAUAUCAUGAGUCCGUUGAAAAAAGACAGUAAGUGGGCUUGAAAAAACAGAAUAAAAGAAACACAAGUUUUCAUUUUGAUCAAGGUUAAAAGGAUGCAGUUAAGGAACAGCUGCCUUCCACCUGAAUGAGCCACUAGAUGCUAAAACACUUUUGCUUGUCUGUAAACAUGUGAAUACAAUUAGGUUUAUAUUACUUUGAAGAAACUAUUGUGUUAUCUAAAUUUGUAACGUCACAUUUGAGAGACUCAGUGAUUAAAAACAGCUAUUUUCACUGUAGUUAA
rnacentral:lncRNA from 1 species